AUCCCACAUGAGAAAAGCAAGCAAAGCCCCCAAAUUUAAAGCAAGUUAAAAAUCCUACAAAAUAUGGGCAAACCCUCGUUGACUUUGGUUUUCUUUUUCAUUCUUUUGGCUAAAGCAUCAUAUUGGCAAAAUGGAAUUGAAGCAAGGGAGGUUCCCAUACAGUGCUAUCAAAGCCUGUUUGACACUGUAGUUGAGGUAAUCCAAGAAGCAUACGAAGGAAUCACUGGCGACCUUGUGGAAAGAAAGAAAUGCGACUCUCACUUUGAAGUUAUUGGUGGAGGCUACAAAUUCCGAAAAAUUAUUUCUUUAUGAACUAUAAAUUAGAGAUAAAUUUUAUAUAUAAUCCUAAUACAUAUAGCUGAAUGAUUGAUGAAAUCUUAUAUUUCCAUGUAUAAGGAUCUUCCAUCUUUCUCAAUAUAAUAAUAAAACAUUCUCCUUUUUGUUUUUUUU